UACGGAGGGUGCAAGCGUUGUCCGGAUUUAUUGGGUUUAAAGGGUGCGUAGGUGGCCCUGUAAGUCCGUGGUGAAAGCCUCUCGCUCAACGAGAGAACUGCCAUGGAUACUGCAGGGCUUGAGGGUAGACGAGGUUGGCGGAAUGGACGGUGUAGCGGUGAAAUGCAUAGAUACCGUCCAGAACCCCGAUUGCGUAGGCAGCUGACUAGGCUACACCUGACACUGAGGCACGAAAGCGUGGGGAGCGAACAG
rnacentral:rRNA from 1 species